rnacentral:rRNA from 1 species
CAGUCGCCGCGGUAGUACGUAGGGUGCGAGCGUUAAUCGGAAUUACCGGGCGUAAAGCGUGCGCAGGCGGUUCGUUAAGACAGAUGUGAAAUCCCCGGGCUUAACCUGGGAACUGCAUUUGUGACUGGCGAGCUAGAGUAUGGCAGAGGGGGGUAGAAUUCCACGUGUAGCAGUGAAAUGCGUAGAGAUGUGGAGGAAUACCGAUGGCGAAGGCAGCCCCCUGGGCCAAUACUGACGCUCAUGCACGAAAGCGUGGGGAGCAAACAGGAUUAGAUACCCGCGUAGUCCCUGUCUCUUAUAC